AGCGACUAAGCGUACACGGUGGAUGCCCUGGCAGUCAGAGGCGAUGAAGGGCGUGCUAAUCUGCGAUAAGCGCCGGUAAGGUGAUAUGAACCGUUAUAACCGGCGAUACCCGAAUGGGGAAACCCAGUGUGAUUCGUCACACUAUCAUUAACUGAAUCCAUAGGUUAAUGAGGCGAACCGGGGGAACUGAAACAUCUAAGUACCCCGAGGAAAAGAAAUCAACCGAGAUUCCCCCAGUAGCGGCGAGCGAACGGGGAGGAGCCCAGAGCCUGAAUCAGCAUGUGUGUUAGUGGAAGCGUCUGGAAAGGCGCGCGAUACAGGGUGACAGCCCCGUACACAAAAGCGCAUGUGCUGUGAGCUCGAUGAGUAGGGCGGGACACGUGGUAUCCUGUCUGAAUAUGGGGGGACCAUCCUCCAAGGCUAAAUACUCCUGACUGACCGAUAGUGAACCAGUACCGUGAGGGAAAGGCGAAAAGAACCCCGGCGAGGGGAGUGAAAAAGAACCUGAAACCGUGUACGUACAAGCAGUGGGAGCACCCUUUGGGUGUGACUGCGUACCUUUUGUAUAAUGGGUCAGCGACUUAUAUUCUGUAGCAAGGUUAACCGAAUAGGGGAGC
rnacentral:rRNA from 1 species